CCCAGGUGCCCGGAGACAGCGGGAGAUGCAGAAGGCAGAGACUUGGGUGCUGGGAUUAAAAGCAGCGACAAGCAACUGAACUGGGACCAUUUUGAAAGGAGCCUUUAGAAAUCAACAACUGCUACUCACUCACUUUGAAGUCUCAGAACGAGAGCACCUGACACUCGGCGCAGACCCCAGACGCUGAGACGUGCCAGAGAGAACUUUCUGGAUGCCUGGACGCCUCCUCACAACCCCUCACUUCUCUUUGGAGGAGUCCCCGAAUCUCUCCCUCGCCUUCUCCGCAUCUCCCUCGCCUUCUCCGCAUUUCCUUCCUCUCUCCCUCUCCCCCCUUCCUUUCUGCUUCCCUCUUAUUCCUGAUGCUCUUGGGUGGGGGCCAGGCUACUCCAAGGUCCCAAGAACAUCGGAAGGGGACCCUGAGCAUCCCCGAUUGCUCAGUUACCUCUGCAGCUAAGCUCCAGCCCGGGACUCCCAGAGCAGGGCCACAGGAGACCAAAUCCCGUGUCUUUCUGGCAUCUCGUUGCCUUCCAAGGAAACAGUCGGGGUGAGGGGAGCCCGGAUUUUACAUUCAGGAUAAAGAGGACAAAGUCCCUCCACCCUGUGCCUGCAGAUUGGGGUGUGUGUGGGAGAAGACCUGAGCUUGGUGGGGCAGGGGCAGGCCGCGGUCUGUUCUCGGAGGACGCUUGUCUGUCCCCGUCCCCUGCACCUGCUGCCUCCCUCUCACCGUCCCCAGCACCCAGCGCCGUCACCACCCCUGAAGCAGAAGCAGCCGUAGCGGCAGACACACCUGCCCCCUUCUCCCAUCAUCCCCCUGCUCCGCCCGGGC